AAUAGGAAAUGCACAGGAAGUAAAAAGAAAUUUGAAUUUGUCAACUUGAGGAAAUGAAUUCAUGCAAUAUUUUAUCAACACUUCCAUUGCAUCGACAGUAAAAACAGGAAAUUUGCAAUGCAUAGUGUUAGCACCUGGGGUAUCUGAAAAUAUCUCUGCCAAUAAAUCCUUAGAGCAGACUGCAAUAAGUACAGAAGUACACAAUUCAAUUAUACUAGUCAGAAUACUUUAUCCCCGAGCCGGCGGCGCGAAGCGCCGUGCGAGGGUACUAAUUCC